ensembl:lncRNA
UAUGUAUAAUAUUCGGCAAUGUGGCAGCAUCUGCAAAGGCUAAAAUGUGGAGACAAAUUACAGAUAUAGCAAAAUGGAAAGGACUACACCAAUACACCAACUGAGCCAUUGUGCUAAUUUGUAUUGUGGUCAAAUUACAGCAAAUGGAACCUUUCACCAUGCACACCUUUAACACUUUUCAUGAAAAACAGGACUACAUGGAAUCAUGCAAUGGCAGUCUCAGUCUCUGGAUUUGAACCCUUUUGAAUAUGUGUGGUCCACAUGCACAUUAGAAUAUAAAGGUGUGUGAAAUGUUCCUCUAUAAGUGAUCUACAACUUUAUUAGACAUUACAGGAAGAAGCUCAGCUUCACCACACAUUAAUUGUUAAAAUCAUUGCUUUGCAGAAAAAAAUGCUCUAUUUUUUAUGUUUUAUUACAAUUUUUAUAUAUAUUAUGGAUAACAUUGUGUUAAAAUAAAACUAACCUGAUUUAAGGUCAAAAUAUAACUCAUUGCUUGUGGUGUUCCUUUGUUAUAUUACUUUUUGCUCAUGUUAAUGAAGUGUGACAAAAUACUGGAAUCAGCCCACAGAAUCACACAUACUUGUACAUGUCUAUGUGUUAAUACAUGUUCUCUCUUUAAUCUUUUCUUCAACAGAAAUGUAAUAACAUGUACCAGUGACAGUGUCCUUAUUUCUUUGUCCAGGUUCACUUCUAUUUUGAAAGUUAAGCAAAAGCACAUGUUGAGACAAAUUAUAAAAUAGGAAAAUGUAUUUGUCAAUUGUAGUUAAGCCUCAGUGUGUCUCUUCAUAACAAAUAAUGUCAUGUGCUCUUAAAUUUGCUCAUGUGACAAACCAUGUGCUUAUAUAUGAACAAUGCCACCUUGUGGAAGACAUAAUCUUAAUUUGUUUGGUCUACCUCAGUUAACUGAAAUAUCAAGGGAAUGAGGCCUUUUUAUUUUGUCCACAUUUUAUUAUUUGUUGAUUAAACAUAUAUAUCAAACAAGUAGGCAACCUUUAAAAAAUAGUCUCAGGAAUGAGACCAUGAUACCUCCCCACCCCAAAAUAUGUGCUAGCUCUAGAUAUCUAAGUGAUCUUGGUCUGUGAGUAUGAUUCAUCUCAUUGUUUCUGUUUUGGUCUGAGCCCAUAGUGCCCUGCUGAUGCAGUUUUGUACAAAGAAAAAUGUCUCCAAAUGAGCAGACAAAUCAAUAACCACCCCAUUAGAUCACAUCUUAUAUGAUUUCCAAACCAUCAGUCCAUGAGCACUCGAAUAGAGUGCUCGAGUCAGGGCAUGAGUCAGGGCCUUCUACUGUCUUCUGACACUCCUUUAUUCCUCAGUUUGUAUUCAGCUGAAGAUGACUUGAUGGUCAUAGUUACUAGAAUGGGAAUAAGAAAAUUCCAGUUUCCCUGUUCAUAAAUGUGGCCCACAUACCUACUGUUGUCAUCCAGCAACAUAAAAUCCUGUGUUGGAUCUAAUAAGACAUUGGACUACUGAUUGGAAGAUUGUGAGUUCAUAUCCCAGCACCACCAAGCUGCCACUGCUGGGCCCUUGAGCAAGGCCCUUACCCCUCAACUGCUCCAUUGUAUAAAAAAAAAUGUAAGUGUACAAAAAAUCAAGAGGACUAAUGCACUGAAGGCACUUUUUUCCAGGAACAAAACCCAGCUUGCAUUGGGUUAGAGAGCAACUACACUGUUGUUGGUAUAUUUAGAGCUCCUUACUGAGUCUAAUUGGUUUCAGAAGACUGAAAUUUCCAGCUUUCUGGCCACUGGGAUGUGGGGACAUUGAAAAGGUGGGGCCAUGAAAACUGGAUAACGUCCUUUCUGGACAGACAGGCUGUUCUGAGUCAUACCAAAAACUCCCAAAGUAAGACAACAACAUUUAAAUUUCUCCUCCUCAAAAAGGCCUUAGAAAAAUGGGAUAUUUCAACUUUUGUGUCUUAGGCUGAAAAUCUAAACAUUUAAACAAACAUCUGGGCCAUUAACAGAUGUAAGGAAACUCAGCAACAAAGUAUAAGAACUGAAAUUAUAUUAAAACAUAUUAACCUUAAAUUAUAUUGAACAUAGUUCUCGCUCUCUCUCUCUCUCUCUCUCUCUCUCACACACACACACACACACACACACACACACACACACAUACAUACAUACAUACAUACAUACAUAUAUACAUACAU